UACGAAGGGGGCUAGCGUUGCUCGGAAUCACUGGGCGUAAAGGGUGCGUAGGCGGGUCUUUAAGUCAGGGGUGAAAUCCUGGAGCUCAACUCCAGAACUGCCUUUGAUACUGAAGAUCUUGAGUUCAGGAGAGGUGAGUGGAACUGCGAGUGUAGAGGUGAAAUUCGUAGAUAUUCGCAAGAACACCAGUGGCGAAGGCGGCUUACUGGUCCGGAACUGACGCUGAGGUGCGAAAGCGUGGGGAGCAAACAGG
rnacentral:rRNA from 1 species